rnacentral:misc_RNA from 1 species
GGCGAAACAAAUAGGGCCUUAAAAUACUUACAGUAUGGAGCAUUGAUAUACAAUUACAAAUUGUAUCCCAUCUAUAGAGGAAAGCACAAUGUUCCAUACAUUUUUCUAAUAGCUUCUACAGAUAAAAUUUAUGAGCAAGGAAUAAAUAAAAACAUUUGUUGAAACAAAACUAUACAAUUACAAAUAUAUCUUAACAACUGGACCUCUUUCUCUUUCCAUUCCAGCCAUGAAAAUUUACCACUGACUGAAGAACUGUGAAUUUUGAAGUUCAAUGGCAAGAAGCUUCAAAAGCAAUUUGUAAUAAGUGAACAAAGGAAGUGAGAAGAGAGGGCUUUUUGUAAUAACCUAACUCUUGUAGACCUAACUACAAUAUACCUUUUUAUCUGGAUGGCAUUCCCUGAAGUGAAAAAGAUAAGGGCUAGCCUGUGGCCCUGUGGUUAAAAUUUAGCCACCACCUAUAGUCUAUAUUCUAUAUAUGUAUAUGCAUUUCCCUUGAUGUUUAUUCUAACAAGACAAUAGUAAAGAGAUCAUAAAUUAUGAUCCCAAAAUGAAUGCAUGUAUCUCUGCCCAACUAGAGACUGUAUACAAAACGCCUGGCUGACCCUUCCAAUUAGGAGAGCCACCUUCAACUAGUUCCUUCUGUUUCUUCACCAUACCAGAGAAUAAUGGAACAAAAGAGAUGCCAAAGUGAUCUCCCAGCCUCUGUAGGCUUGGGCUUGAACCAAUCACAAUACCUAUAUCAGCUUUGAGCAGGCAAAGCAAGUCACCCACUGAGCCUCCAACAUAGACAGUCAACUGCUGGCAAUCCGUAUUGCAGUCCUUUAAGAUGUCAUUAAAAGCUUGAAGUUUUUCCAUUGGGCACUCUACUUUCCUAACAAUUUCACCCGUUGAAAUAGUUUCUUCAUAAGCCAACUCAUUUGAAUGUACUUGCACAACAUUUAGAUCUCCUGAUGAAAACGCUGAUCUAAUGAGAUCACCACACCAGCAGUAUGAAAGGACAUGAACAUCAGUUUUUGAAUUUUCAUUUCUCACAAUCUUUUGGAAAAAUCCUCUACAGCCAUCUUGGAAAAUAAGUUGUUGACCAGCUCGUUUUAUAUCCUGGACACUUAAACCCUUCAACACUCCUGUCUGAAUCACUCUUGAAUUUGCCCUUUUCUCAAAGUCAGCAAGUUGUUCAACUGCCUUACUCAGACCUUCAUAAUUAAAAUUUCCAACUCUUUCACUAGAUAUGAUGCUUUCUAUGCAUUGAUCAUGUUCUUCAACAUACUGGGCUGAAAGAACACCCCACGUUUUCCUCAAAUCAGCUGAUGACAUCCGAGUGAGUUUGGUUUCAGAUCCACCAAGAUCCACCCUUGGUGCUGUUAUUAUUGCAAUUUCAGCUAAAAAGGCAGAGGAAUCAACAGCAGUGCAUGUCAUGUCAAAAUCACAAAAUACAGUGAGGUGGAAAUCAGCAGGGCCUUGCACCCCUGACAAAGGCACUAUUGUUUGCUGGACAAUUGGUUGAGCAGACAAAAAAUCCACUUUAAGUUUCACAGCUUGAAGAUAUAGCUUUUCUAGGACCUCAAGUUCUUCGUUUGUCAAAGAGAUGCUUAGUUUAUCCAGCACUUCUUCUAUUUGCUGAGUUGAUACCUCAAAGUUUUCAGAACAAUAAUUAUCUACCCACUUCCUGUAAAUAUGACUGCUAUCCUCUGGAUCAAGAAGAUGAUGUAUCUCUUUACAUAUAGAGGCAUAUAGUCUGAUGCAUGGUGCCAUGGCACCAAGUGUGUAAGCAGCCAGUUUUAUCCUCUCAAAAGGAGUUGCAAUUUUACCAGGAACUUUUUCUCCUUCAACUUUUCCCGAAGCUGUUGCCAGCAAGAAAUCUGCAUAUUUGGCAGUGGCAACAAUGGAAGUACUCUCUGGGGGAAGUUCAAAGCCCCAUUCCUGUAUGGUAAUUUGCAUGAGAACAGAUAAUGCAAACUGAAGAGCAUACUAGAAUAAAGAGAAAUUAGAAGACAUUAAAACAGUUCAAUAUUUAUCUAACUCAAGUAAUCACUAGCCUUAGCGACAAAGGAGAGCAGGCUGAAUCUAUAGGAAUAAUGAGAGAUUUUUAUUAAAUAAAACUAACACCGUUUAUCAAUCAACAUAAAAAACUCGCCUGUCCCUUGACAUAAACAGAGGACAAGAACAAGUGCAUUUUUAUCACUUACAUCAACUCAAAAGCUCAGCUGAGAAAAAUACUUAAAUGCGGUUCAGUCACUCCCAUGGGAUGAUCGGAAACUAUGAAAAGUUAGUGUGGAAUGAAUAAAAUUGAUAGUGUUUCAAAUUCAAUCACACUUUGACAAUGUUACAUACGCAUUUCACAACCACCGUCACCAUCUCUUAUUCAUCACAAGCCAGCACCAUCAUGGGCCGCAUUACCGUACAACCAAAAAACUAGAAUAGGACACUCGUUAUAAGGGGCCAAAAAAAUUGAUCUUACAAAAUAGAAUUACAUGAGAUUGAGCGAGUUUUACUUGAUGAUAAUUAGUCAAGCAAGACCAGUGUCAGUAAAAUGAGAGCUCACGUCAACUCGUUGAGUCUAAGAGCUAAGACCUCUAUUGAAGAAAGCUUAUAAUUAGAGGGAGAAAAAAAAAACGUAAAUCAUAAGAUGAUGCAACAGAAAAAGUGGGGAUUGGUGUUAAGAAGCGUACAUGGACAAUAGUUUCGUAAUUUUUAAGCCUGUCUUUGACGCGUUCUCUCAACUUGCGAAUCGCGCUUUUGUCUUCAUCAUCAUCAGCGCAUUCUUCAGCUAGUUCGUAUGCCUGAGCGAAUGCUUUGAGAAAAUGGACUUCUUGGGAGAUAAAAUGGAGGAAAGAGUGAGACUCCAGAUUACCGGCAGCCAAGCUAAGAAAGAAAGGACUGUACAUGGCAAAAAUCCAGUGUCUCUUCGACUUGAUCCAGAACUGCAGAGCAAUUCCUUCUUGGUCUACUGCUCCCAUCUCCGGUAUCUCCCUCCGUUAACCAAAAAAAAUAAACGACGUCGUAUCAAAUCAAUGGGACGACGAUCUCUUGUGAUCGGAGAAGAUAAAAGAAAAGAACAUGAAUUUGGAUUGAAGGAAGAUAAAAAGGAAAAGAAGGCGUCUCGAGAAUUGGACUAAAAAACAAAGAGAAAAAGACAGAGAAUUGGUGAAGGCAUUCUUUGUUGAUAGAGAUUUAUAUAUAAAAUAAUGAAAAAAAAAGGGAAUGCAAAAAGGUCCAAGUUUGCGGGAAAAUGGAGAAUUUUCUCGAGAAAGAGGCCGGCGAACAACUAAAGGAAGAGAGAGAAUGAGGAGAACACCUGAGCCGUGAAAGGGAUCGGGGAGACUGAGUCAGUGACUCGGUUUUUGGAAAUCUCUCUCCACCUCUCCGUGUAAAGAGAAGAGACGAGAAGAGAAGACGGUGAUAAAGUCAAAC